UGGAGAAGAGUCUGACAACAAAGCCAUAGAUGACUGCCUAAACAUCUCAACUAAACAAGAUUUUUAGCUUGUUGGUAGUAUAAUUUAUGUAGGCAAGUCAUCCUUGGCUAGUAGACAAAGGCUCUUCCCU
rfam:Capsicum annuum cultivar Zunla-1 chromosome 8, whole genome shotgun sequence